AAAUAUAGAUGUUAAGGACAAAAUACCAAGAGAACACCACAAGCAGGCAGCAACCGACUUUCCCCUCCAAACUUUCAAAUCCUCUCGUUUGUCAAUGUUUAGCCUUCAUGAGAAAUCGCCUGGCAACGACUAUGCAUUAUUCUGAUUGCUAGGGAAAAAAAUGACACAAGCGCAUUCAAAAUCCUUAGAAAAGAUUGCCAUCUUUUUUGAUGCUUUGUUGAAAAGCACGCACGAGAAACUAGCAUCACUGGUUGCCUCUAGGCAAGGGGACCAAGGGUCUGGAGAUCCGGACUGGGAGAUGUGUUUUUCCUGUGCACUCUUUUAUAUAUUUUGAAUCUUGUGCUGUGUUCCUGUACUAUCUACUGCCGCAGAACUAAGUUUUGUAAAAACGACAGCUUAAGAGGGCCAGAAAAACGAAGUCUGAUUGGUUGCUGAUUACUGUGAUUUCAUAUGCAAAUUUUAAACAUGUAUUCCCCGCAUGGGCAAAUAUUUUGCGGACUAUUGAAUCCGUGCCUGGUCCUGGACGUAGCAAAGAGAGCUCGGGCACCUCGUGCACAGACGGACGGACACCCUGGGAGCUCCCCAGACUUGGGCAGUUCCCGGUGCUACUGUGUGUUCUGCUUCCUGGACUGUCAAAUGUGGGGCCACCUGGGGAUGGCCUCUCCACUCCCUUUCAACUUGGAUACCCUUUAUGCGUACUCAUUUCACAGAGUGAGAAAGCAUCUCCUGGCCUUUCUAUCGCAGAUUUUUUAUGGGCAUUGCCUAUGAAAUUUCAUCUCAAAGACAGGCUGAGUGCUUGCCUGUAGAGCGGUGCCCAUGGAUCCCCACCAGCAGCUCACACCUGGGAAGUUGGUGGGUUUGCUGAACGGCUAAGACUCACGCCUGCAGCUGGCUGGUGCUUCCCAAUCCAUGUGGGCUGAAUCUGAAUCUGAAUACUAAUUCCACCCUCAGGAGCCAACACAUAUGGAAAAUAUUAAUGCUUCCUUCACAUGGAAAUCUUUUUUUUUUUUCUUUUUGGAAAAAAAAAAGAUUUUUAAAGAAGAUUCUAGUUACGGUGCUGCAAGGAAAAAAAAAUCAUCUUUCCAAAUGCCCAUAGAGUCAUCGUUCUAUCAGAAGUAAAGAGAAAAUGGGGGAUUAUUUGAAGGGAAGAAUAAAAAUCAAGUCGGGCUUUUUCCUUCAACAGCUACAGGUCAUUAGCCCUAAAAAUUGGAACUUUCCAUUUCCUGGAAACAAACCCAACAACAUCGAUGUCAGCUGUGUUCCUGUGUUGUUUAAUCUCUGUAGAGCCUGCUGGACUGAGUUCUCUCUGACCCUUACAGAAGGUUUCAGUACGUGAAUUCGAAAGAGACAGAGUGUGAGCAGGGGAGGAACAGAGAUAGAGGGAGACACAGAAUCCCAAGCAGUUUCCAGACUCUGAGCCAUCAGCACAGAGCCCAAUGCGGGGCCCAAACUCACGAACCAUGAGAUCAUGACCUGAGCCAGAGUCGACGCUUAACCGACUGAGCCACCCAGGCGCCCCUACAUUUUUGACGUGUUACAGCUUCUGGACUGCCGUGAUGAACGACCGCCCAACGGGGGGCUUCGAACGAUGCGAAUCUACUCUCUGGCAGGUCUGCCAUCCAGAAGUGGAAAAUCAGGUGUCAGUCAGGUUCGUGCCUUCUGCGGGCUCUGAGGGAGAAACCAUCCCUGCGUCUCCUCGCUCCUGGUGGCUGCUGGUAGGCGAUCCUUGGUGUUUCCUCGUGUGUCCGUGCGUCCCUCCAAGGUCUGCCUCUUCUCUGUGUCUCUGUGUCCUCUCCUCUUCCUUUUCGGACACCGGUCACUGGAUGUAGGGCCCACCCUAAAUCCAGGAGGAUUGCAU